ACAUUUAUUUUUACAUACCUGAGACGUUCCAGCUUGUCGGCCAUUUUUGUGACAACAAUGUAUAAGAUUUACGAAAAUAACACUAAAAAUUUGCGAAGCUCUGACAGUAUUCGGGUUAUAGUACAGUGACUUUGCAGAGUGCAUACCAGCACAUUUAUAGGUUAAGAAAGUUUCUUCAUUCAACUGGCAGCGUAUAGCUGAAUGAGUUGACCGACGUGAAUUGUCAUUGAAAAAUUAAUUUGCGACGAUCGAAUUAUCGUUCCACAGGAUCUGCGCGUAUUUUUCCUCACACCGUGCAUCAGAAACUGCUCCACAGAACCAUACUGUUGACAACCACAACGAAAUUCAAUCAUCCCCUCUAAGUCUGCCAUGUGACGUCAAGAAUCAACCUGUCGUGUAUAGUACUCUAUAGUCAUUGUCUCUGUCAUUGGACUACGCAGUUGGGUUUGGAUAAGAAACAGAAAAGGAAGCCUCGGCCGGCUUAAAGUGGAAGAAGGAAGGCGAGUAACCGCUGCCAGGAAGCGAGCUCAAGGCGUCGUCGCGAUCACGAAUCACUGUAUCAGGAGCUUCACGACCAAGCGCAGCCAGCUGCCGACCCUUCGGCAGGAACAUCGUCAGGAACACCAGUAGGGAAGUAGUUAACAGUCCAUAGGCCAGCCAGGCCUCUCUGUCGCUUUCCGAGGACGCUGCCACCGAGCCGAUCGCGCUCGAUAUCCAAAUCGGAAGUGAUAAACCAACCGCGAGGCCGAUAAACGCCGCUUCCCGGUUGUUGUCUCGCACACCUCGUGCUCGGACUGCUAAACAUGCCACGGCCACGAGAAGAGCCCCAGGAUACCUGAAAACGAACCAUCGAAAUUCUGAGCGUACCGUGUCUGCAAUACAUGUACGAGGUGCGAUCAUAAACUUCCCGGAAGUUUUAUAAGAUAUAAUCGGAUAAAAUGAUCAAACGUUACCAAGUUAACCGAACUGAAUUUUGUUUAGACCAUUCAAUAGACCACUUAUGGAAAACCCUUUGAGCCCAGUUUCAAGUUGCUACUCCCUCCACAAGGGUUGUUAGAGUUUUUAAUUAAAUUAAUAGAU